rnacentral:rRNA from 1 species
UACGUAGGGGGCAAGCGUUGUCCGGAUUUAUUGGGCGUAAAGAGCGUGUAGGCGGCUUUACAGGUCCGUUGUGAAAACUCGAGGCUCAACCUCGAGACGCCGGUGGAAACCGUAAAGCUAGAGUCCGGAAGAGGUGAGUGGAAUUCCUGGUGUAGCGGUGAAAUGCGUAGAUAUCAGGAAGAACACCUGUGGCGAAAGCGGCUCACUGGACCACAACUGACGCUGAGGCGCGAAAGCUAGGGGAGCAAACAGG